rnacentral:rRNA from 1 species
UGGGGAAUAUUGCACAAUGGGCGCAAGCCUGAUGCAGCCAUGCCGCGUGUAUGAAGAAGGCCUUCGGGUUGUAAAGUACUUUCAGCGGGGAGGAAGGGAGUAAAGUUAAUACCUUUGCUCAUUGACGUUACCCGCAGAAGAAGCACCGGCUAACUCCGUGCCAGCAGCCGCGGUAAUACGGAGGGUGCAAGCGUUAAUCGGAAUUACUGGGCGUAAAGCGAGUGUAGGUGGCUCAUUAAGUCACAUGUGAAAUCCCCGGGCUUAACCUGGGAACUGCAUGUGAUACUGGUGGUGCUAGAAUAUGUGAGAGGGAAGUAGAAUUCCAGGUGUAGCGGUGAAAUGCGUAGAGAUCUGGAGGAAUACCGAUGGCGAAGGCAGCUUCCUGGCAUAAUAUUGACACUGAGAUUCGAAAGCGUGGGUAGCAAACAGG